ACCGGCGAUGUCCCAAAUCUGGGCCUUGACGACCUUGUCGUCGACCUAGAGGGAGCGGGUGGCGAACUCGACCCCCCUGAUGGUGGACUUGGACUCGAGGCUGAACUCGUUGCGGGUGAAGCGGGAGAGCAGGUUGGACUUGCC
rnacentral:rRNA from 1 species